GGAUGUGAUCAUACCAGCACUAAAGCACCGGAUCCCAUCAGAACUCCGAAGUUAAGCGUGCUUGGGCGAGAGUAGUACUAGGAUGGGUGACCUCCUGGGAAGUCCUCGUUGUUGCAUCCC
rnacentral:rRNA from 1 species